GAUUUCUGGUUCGGCGCACUUGGCCCGUCUCGGUUUACGAGAUUGCGUGCCGGUGUGCGCCAUCCAUCCUUCGAGAGAACACUCCUACCCUUUACUGGGCGAGGGUGCUAUCUCGAUCUUUUACUUUGAAAAAAUUAGAGUGUUUCAAGCAGGCUUUAUGCUAUGAAUACAUUAGCAUGGAAUAAUAAUUUAGGACUUCGGUUCUAUUUUGUUGGUUUCUAGGACUGAAGUAAUGAUUGAUAGGGAUAGUUGGGGGUGCUAGUAUUCAGCGGCCAGAGGUGAAAUUCUCGGAUUCGCUGAAGACUAACUUAUGCGAAAGCAUU
rnacentral:rRNA from 1 species